CUUUGCACCACCUAACAGCUACUAGAGCUCCGGACCCUAGAUAUCAGCCACAACUACUUCAAUUCAACGUUUCCACUUGGGAUUUCCAGGCUCAAGUUCUUGCACAUCUUCGACGUGUACAGUAACAACUUCAUUGGCUCACUUCCACAUGACCUCAUCCACCUUCGCUUCCUCGAGUAGCUUAACCUCAGUGGAAGCUACUUCAAUGGUAGUAUUCCCCCUAGCUAUGGGGGUUUCUGGAGGCUCAAGUUUCUUGACUUGGUCGGGAACUUUUUGGAUGGUCUACU